UACGAAGGGGGGCUAGCGUUGCUCGGAAUCACUGGGCGUAAAGCGCACGUAGGCGGACUCUUAAGUCAGUGGUGAAAGCCCCAAGCUUAACUUGGGAACUGCCAUUGAUACUGAUGGUCUUGAGUACAUUUGAGGUGGGCGGAAUGUGUCAUGUAGCGGUGAAAUGCUUAGAUAUGACACAGAACACCAUUGCGAAGGCAGCUCACUAAACUGUAACUGACGCUGAGGCACGAAAGCGUGGGGAGCAAACAGG
rnacentral:rRNA from 1 species